UUCGGUGGGGGGGCCCUCAGCCUGGAUUGCGAGAGAGUGCAGGCCAGGCCAAGGGAUUCCAUCAGUGCACG
rnacentral:pre_miRNA from 1 species